AGGGAUAUAGUUAAACGGUAGAAUAGCGGUCUCCAAAACCGUUGAUGGGGGUUCGAUUCCCUCUAUCCCCUGCCA
rnacentral:tRNA from 1 species